GCACCCAUUUUAUUCUUCCUUGGCCUGUGCUACCCAGGGACUGUGAUAGCCAGGCGUUACUGGAGGAGCCAGAGGAGGAGCAAGAGGAGGAACCAGAGGUCCAAGUGCAAGCUUGAGCAUUAAAGUUCCUGUAAGAAGCUGUGAACGGUGCUUGGCUCCAGUCGGUUUUGAUAAGACCUCCUCUUGUAGCCCAAUCAUCUGCAUUCCAGAGGCUUGAGUAUAUCCACAUUGGUUGGCUCUUCGGGUAUGGGAUGCCCUUCGAUUCCAUGUUCUUGAACUCUCUAAUCGGGGUCCCAUCCACAGAAAGGCUGAAAAGUGUAGGAAGAUGUGUCAGGAAAUAUAAAUCUAGCUAUAAUUUCACUGUACCAACUAAUAAAAACUCUUUUUUUUUUUU
rnacentral:lncRNA from 1 species